rnacentral:rRNA from 1 species
UACGUAGGGGGCAAGCGUUGUUCGGAUUUACUGGGCUUAAAGCGCGUGUAGGCGGCCCGGCAAGUGUCGUGUGAAAUCCCAUGGCUCAACCAUGGAACGGCAUGGCAAACUACCGGGCUGGAGGUCGGUAGAGGUGCCUGGAACUCUCGGUGGAGCGGUGAAAUGCGUAGAUAUCGAGAGGAACGCAAGAGGCGAAAGCGGGGCACUGGGCCGAUUCUGACGCUGAGACGCGAAAGCGUGGGGAGCAAACAGG